AUAAUGUCACCUUGAACACACUGAGUGAUAAGAUGGACCAAUUUCAAUUUGUUGGUACAUCUUGAGCAAAAGUUGUAAGGUCAUAUGAGUUAGCAAUAGUAAAACAGAUUUUGACUGUUGAUAUAAAGCCUUAGUUGCAAAACAUUGGAGUAGUCUAUAGAUCCUCAUUCCUCAACAAGACUGAAACUCUAAUGUUGAAAUAUUUUUUUAUGCAGGCUUUUCCGUUGGAUUUAGUACUCUUUUCCGGUUGAGGACAACUUAAGUCUUUGCUUCCAGAUUAUCAGCGGCUUUCUCAUAGGUUGAAUACAUCAAAGCUUAUUGAAAAUAGUGAAUAUUUCCAAAAUAAACUGGUGGAUACAAUACAUUUUAUGGAGAUUCUAAAUUUAAAAGACAGUGUUGAAAAGGAUACCUUCUUCCGCAAGCUUCCAAAUUUAGCAGAGAAGCUUCCUCGUCCAAUUGUCCUGAAAAAGUUAGUUCCAUUAUUAGCUUCUGCACUUGAAUUUGGUUCAGCUGCUGCCCCUGCUUUGGCUGCCUUGUUGAAAAUGGAUUCUUCGCUUUCGACAGAAGAAUUCAGUUCCAAGGUCAUGCUCUUUCAGUACCUUUAAAAUAUUCUUAUUUUCAGAUGUUAAUUUUUGUCUUAUAAUGAUCCGGGUUGAUUGAUAUCUAUCCAUAUAAUGCAUAGAGCUCUAGUUGCUAGUUCGGCCAGUUUGAUGGCUCUAUAUGAACUAGCGGUUUUUGUGAUGCCCUAGGAAUAAGAUCUAUGUAUGUGCAAAGGAUAAUUAUUUUUUUUUGGUAAGUAAUAAGAUUUUAUAAAUCCGAAAAAAUGAGCCACCCAAGCAUACAGGAAAUACACUGGUUAGACAAUUAAUUAGUACAUUGGACAUGAUGUAUUUGGUUGUAGUGUGGGUUUUUUUUUUUUUUUUUUUUAAAGAAAAUCUUAUUUUGAGGGUCAAAAGACCCUUAAAUAACCUUAUUUAUCAAGGGUUGUACAUGUAGAUCUUUUAACCCUUGGUAAAUAAGGUUAUUUAAGGGUCUCUUGACCCUUAAAAAAAGAUUAGAGCACUUGUUUUGAGGGUCAUGAAGGCCUUCAAAAUUUCUUUUUUGACGGGAUAAGUUUAGAAGGUUAUCAAGGGUCGAUUUGACUCUUAAAAUAAUUUUUCUCGAGGUUUUUUAAUUACUUUUUCAAGGAUUUUGACACUUGAAGAAAGUUAGCUUUGUUGUAGUGAGAACCAGUAGAAACUUGACCACUCAACUAUUGCAAAAAAUUAUUAUGUGUCGUAGUGUUACACUGUUGCUUUUUAUCCAAUUUGGAUGGAAAAUAGGAGAAAAAUAUUAAUUUUUAUGCGAAUUUACUCUAUUACCUUAUUGUGAAAUGGAGGAGAGUUAGAUUUUGUAUAAAAUUAACUUUAUACCCUCAUAAUCAAUUGUUAUUAUAUAAUUCAAAAGAUAAAGGAAUAAAUGUUUUCUUAUAUAUAUAUAUAUAUAUAUAUAUAUUCACAAUCAAUUGCUUUGAUUUUCCCUAAUUACCAAGAGAGUUGCUACUUUUCUGGAAGUGGGACUGGAAGCAUGGCGCAAGUUCCCAUCAUUAUUGUUGCUUCUAUUCUAACAGGAGAUUUAACAACGAGCCAAUUAGAAGGAGCUAGACCUAGGAAAAGGCAUCAUUUUUGCUUACAUUUUUGUGAGAAAGUUGUUUCGUUCAGUGUACAGUUUGAUUAUUUAGGCACGUAGUAUUUGCUGAAGUUUUUUUUUGAUGUAGUAUUUGCUGAAGUUUGGUUAUGUAUAUAUAUAAAUUGAUUUUUUAUAUUUCAAACAGAAUAUGCCAGAAUUUAUUAGAAACAUUUUUGUUUGGUGUUUAA